rnacentral:rRNA from 1 species
GUUGACCUCGGAUCAGGUAGGAAUACCCGCUGAACUUAAGCAUAUCAUAAAGCGGGGAAGGAAAUUUUUUUUUUGAUUUUUUGGGUACUUGUGUGAUGAUGUAUAUAUAUAGUUUGUUUUUUGUUCUCCAGGGGGGGGGAGGGAGGGGAAACGCAUAGGAAGA